GAUGUGCCUUUCUCACCCACUCUGAGCUCCUCUGGCGGGGAAGGACCACAGUUUCUGCCACUCCAUUCCCAUCCCUCACCAAAAAGCUCAGCGUACUCGUCAGGGAGAAAAAUGCUGCCUUGAAACAGCCUUGAAUGUGUACGUGUCUGCGGCAAACCUAUCAAAAGAACAGUGACAGCCACCCAAAGUUUGACAGCAGGCUCCUGGUUGGGGAACCGAAGAUGUCGCGUCUGCGGUCAAGUGCUGCUGUUCUGCUGUCCAUGCAGCC